ACCUCUCACACCACGAUCAAAAUCGCUCUCCUCCAAUUCCAUCCAUUUUCAAAACCCUAGCCACCGGUCUCCUCCAAUUCCACCCAUCAUUCUCCUCCUAAUCUCGUUUACUACUGUCUAAACAACCUCCGGGCGACCGUUCUCAGUUGAAGUGUGCCUACUUUCGCGAGCGACCGACAACGUCCAAUCGACAACAGAGUAGCGUUCUAAAAGCUUCGAUUUUUGAUAAACAAUGACAAAAAGAGGUCGCUCAUUCAAUUCCCAACCCACCCAGACUGUAGCAGCGAAGCUGCCAAGGGUGGAUUUCGAAGAAGCUGUUCACGAUGUCAUACCUAUAGCUAUUGCACAAAAAUUCCGGCAGAGAUUGGCCAAACAAAACGAAGAGACAAGUACAGGGAACGAAGAGUUGGAGCAGCGGAAAUCACGAGGGAAGAAGGUCGACCAUCUAUACUGACAUGUUGUGCAUCAAGUUCGCAAAGACACUACUAACAUGUCAAUACAACAAACGAGGACAACCAACUUUCCGCAAGCAACCAUUGGAAGGUCAGGCCCGCAAAGUUCAACUUUGAGAGGUGGGUCAAUGAGUAUGGGCUGGAGUGAUGAUCUGGAUUUCAAUUGGAUAGUUUGGUUUUAGACAUUUUAAAUCAAUUUUGGGUUAACUUAUGUUGGAAACAAACGUGAAAGCAACUAGGGUAACUGUUUGUGAUUUGGAUUCAUGUUUUGUUAU